rnacentral:rRNA from 1 species
UAAUUUAGGCAUAUUAGUAAGCGGAGGAAGAACUAACAAGGAUUCCCUUAGUAGCUGCGAGCGAACAGGGAAAAGCCCAGCACUGAAUCCCGGAGGCAUCGCCUCCUGGGAAAUGUGGUGUUUGGGAGGGUUCAUAUACCCGGUACCGUCGCACCGCGUCCAAGUCCAUCUUGAAAGAGGCCACGGUCCCGAGAGGGUGCCAGGCCCGUGGUAGGCCGGUGCAGGUUCUGGGUGAACCUCUCCUUAGAGUCAGGUUGCUUGAGAGUGCAGCCCUAAGUGGGUGGUAAACUCCAUCUAAGGCUAAAUACAACCACGAGACCGAUAGCGAACAAGUACCGUGAGGGAAAGUUGAAAAGAACUUUGAAGAGAGAGUUCAAGAGUACGUGAAACCGCUCAGGGGUAAACGGAAAAGACCCGAAAUUUCCGAAAAGGGAGAUUCACGUCUUCUCGCGGGUUCAACGCACCUGCUCCUCUUUGACGAUCCUGCCCCCGUUCGGACUCGUCCGUUGCGUGGUGGUGGGGUUGCAGAGGGUGGUGUGGAGGCUCGCGGCGGACCGCACUUCUCCCUUAGUAGGACGUCGUGACCCGUCCGGCUAUGGUCUUAAGGUCGCGAGGUGGAGCCUGUUUGUGGCGUGCUUGCACGUUUUCGAAGAGACCCUCGCGUCCCGGCCAUGGAUGUUUACACACCGGUCGGUAUCAAAUGACAGUGUUCGGCCUCUCUUCGGCGGAGGAAACUCCUGCCAGUGAGCGCGAUUUGACCCUCGACAAGGUGCUGGGAUGAAUCAGUCAAGGCGGGCUUCCGUCCGUCUGACUGCUCUCGGCCCUGUUGGUCGGUGGGGCUUCUCGUUUGGCCUAUUUGCACUCGUCUACGGCGAACCAGUUUUGGGCUCUUGUCCGACCCGUCUUGAAACACGGACCAAGGAGUUCAGCGUGUACGCGAGUCAUUGGGCGUUAAAACCUAAAGGCGUAAUGAAAGUGAAGGAAACUUCUCGUUUCUGAGGGAGGAUGAGGCGGUUACCCGCAAGGGGCCACUCCGCACUCCCGGGGCGUCUCUUUCUCAUUGCGAGUGGAGGCGCACCCAGAGCGUACACGCUGAUACCCGAAAGAUGGUGAACUAUGCCUGGCCAGGACGAAGCCAGGGGAAACCCUGGUGGAGGUCCGCAGCGAUUCUGACGUGCAAAUCGAUCGUCGGAGCUGGGUAUAGGGGCGAAAGACCAAUCGAACCAUCUAGUAGCUGGUUCCCUCCGAAGUUUCCCUCAGGAUAGCUUGCGCUCAUGUGAACGAGUCUCAUCCGGUAGAGCGAAUGAUUAGAGGCCUUGGGGUCGAAACGACCUCAACCUAUUCUCAAACUCCAAAUAGAUGAGAACUCCGGCUUCCUUGAAACAUUUUUCUGAAGCCGGGGGCUCGGAUCAGAGUGCCAAGUGGGCCAAUUUUGGUAAGCAGAACUGGCGCUGUGGGAUGAACCAAACGUCGAGUUAAGGCGCCUAAAUCGUCGCUCAUGUGAAACCAUGAAAGGCGUUGGUUGCUUAAGACAGCAGGACGGUGGCCAUGGAAGUCGGAAUCCGCUAAGGAGUGUGUAACAACUCACCUGCCGAAGCAACUAGCCCUGAAAAUGGAUGGCGCUGUAGCGACGUUGCCUAUACUCGACCGUCAACGGCAAAGAUGGCUAGGCGGGCAACCGCUUGGCCGUUACGCCUUGACGAGUAGGAGGGCCGCGGCGACGUGCGCAGAAGGGUCUGGGCGUGAGCCUGCCUGGAGCCGUCGUCGGUGCAGAUCUUGGUGGUAGUAGCAAAUACUCCAGCGAGGCCCUGGAGGACUGAUGUGGAGAAGGGUUUCUUGUGAACAGCUGUUGCACAAGAGUCAGUCGGUCCUAAGCCCUAGGAGAAAUCCGAAGCGAUGGGUUGCCGUUAAGACUUGAUAAAAAAAUUCUGAAGGCACCCGUUUGGGCGAAAGGGAAUCCGGUUCCUAUUCCGGAACCUGGCAGUGGAACCGUUCCAAUUCGGGCCCUCUGAGGACUCGUCAGGGCAACCUGAAUAGACCCGGAGACGCCGACAGGAGGUUGGGGGAGAGUUGUCUCUUCUCUAUAAGCGAUCGAGUUCCCUGGAAACUUCUAGCAAGGAGAUAGGGUUUGGAUCGCGAAGAGCACUGCAGUUACGGCAGUGUCCCAAUCUUCCUCUCGGACCUUGAAAAUCCGGGUGAGGGCCACGAGGAACCCCACGCCAGACCGUACCCAUAUCCGCAGCAGGUCUCCAAGGUGCAAAGCCUCUAGUCGAUAGAAUAAUGUAGUAGGAAGUCA